rfam:Bacillus sp. SJS contig_23, whole genome shotgun sequence.
CUCUGGAUUCGGUAAGAAUGCAGGGCAGAAGGAG